AGCAGCCGCGGUAAUUCCAGCUCCAAUAGCGUAUAUUAAAGUUGUUGCAGUUAAAAAGCUCGUAGUUGAAUUUCGGGGAUCAAUUUAUUGGUCGUGCAAUAGUACGUACUGGUAUUAUUGGUUUCCUACCUUCUGAUGAACCAUGAUGUAAUUAAUUUGGUGUUAUGGGGAAUCAGGACUGUUACUUUGAAAAAUUAGAGUGUUUAAAGCAGGCUCACGCUUGAAUACAUUAGCAUGGAAUAAUGAAAUAGGACGUUUGAUUUCUAUUUUGUUGGUUUCUAGGGAUCGACGUAAUGAUUAAUAGGGAUAGUUGGGGGGCAUUAGUAUUCAAUUGUCAGAGGUGAAAUUCUUGGAUUUAUUGAAGACUAACUACUGCGAAAGCAUUUGCCAAGGAUGUUUUCAUUAAUCAAGAACGAAAGUUAGGGAUCGAAAGACGAUCAGAUAC
rnacentral:misc_RNA from 1 species